GGGUUGUGAGGUUAAGCGACUAAGCGUACACGGUGGAUGCCCUGGCAGUCAGAGGCGAUGAAGGACGUGCUAAUCUGCGAAAAGCGUCGGUAAGGUGAUAUGAACCGUUAYARCCGGCGAUGUCCGAAUGGGGAAACCCAGUGCAAUUCGUUGCACUAUCGUUAACUGAAUACAUAGGUUAACGAGGCGAACCGGGGGAACUGAAACAUCUAAGUACCCCGAGGAAAAGAAAUCAACCGAGAUUCCCCCAGUAGCGGCGAGC
rnacentral:rRNA from 1 species